rnacentral:rRNA from 1 species
AUUGAACGCUGGCGGCAGGCCUAACACAUGCAAGUCGAACGAGUGGCGGACGGGUGAGUAAUGUCUGGGAAACUGCCUGAUGGAGGGGGAUAACUACUGAAAACGGUAGCUAAUACCGCAUACCAUCAGAUGUGCCCAGAUGGGAUUAGCUAGUGGGUGGGGUAACGGCUCACCAGGGCGACGAUCCCUAGCUGGUCUGAGAGGAUGACCAGCCACACUGGACCGGAGAAACGGUCCAGACUCGUCCGAGCGGCAGCAGGGGGGAAUAUUGCACAAUGGGCGCAAGCCUGAUGCAGCCAUGCCGCGUGUAUGAAGAAGGCCUUAGGGUUGUAAAGUACUUUCAGCGGGGAGGCGUUACCCGCAGAAGAAGCACCGGCUAACUCCGUGCCAGCAGCCGCGGUAAUUC